rnacentral:misc_RNA from 1 species
UCCUGGUUAACCCAGGCAGUCUCAUUAGAGUUCCCACCUUCACGUGUUGGCAACUAAUGAUAAGGGUUGCGCUCGUUGCUGGACUUAACCAAACACCUCACGGCACGAGCUGACGACAGCCAUGCAGCACCUGUGCAGCAGUCCCGAAGGAAUGUAACAUUUCUGCUACUGUCUACUGCAUGUCAAGUCUGGGUAAGGUUCUUCGCGUUGCAUCGAAUUAAACCACAUGCUCCACUGCUUGUGCGGGUCCCCGUCAAUUCUUUUGAGUUUCACCCUUGCGAGCGUACUCCCCAGGCGGUAUACUUAUCGCGUUAGCUUCGACACAAUUGGGGUUGAGUCCAAUUACAUCAAGUAUACAUCGUUUACGGCAAGGACUAC